CGGUGAGGUAACCUUUUGGAGCCAGCCGCCUAAGGUGGGACAGAUGAUUGGGGUGAAGUCGUAACAAGGUAGCCGUAUCGGAAGGUGCGGCUGGAUCACCUCCUUUCUAAGGAAAAACGGAAUGUACUUGAGUUUCUUAUUUAGUUUUGAGAGGUCUUGUGGGGCCUUAGCUCAGCUGGGAGAGCGCCUGCUUUGCACGCAGGAGGUCAGCGGUUCGAUCCCGCUAGGCUCCAUUGAAUCGAAAGAUUCAAGUAUUGUCCAUUGAAAAUUGAAUAUCUAUAUCAAAUUCCAUAUGUAAGUAAUUACAUAUAGAUAGUAACAAGAAAAUAAACCGAAACGCUGUGAAUAUUUAAUGAGUUAGGUCGAAAGGCCAAAAAUAAGGUUAAGUUAAUAAGGGCGCACGGUGGAUGCCUUGGCACUAGAAGCCGAUGAAGGACGUGACUAACGACGAAAUGCUUUGGGGAGCUGUAAGUGAGCAAUGAUCCAGAGAUGUCCGAAUGGGGGAACCC
rnacentral:misc_RNA from 1 species